rnacentral:rRNA from 1 species
UUUGAUUUUCUUCGGAACUGAAGAUUUGGUGAUUGAGUGGCGGACGGGUGAGUAACGCGUGGGUAACCUACCCUGUACAGGGGGAUAACAGUCAGAAAUGACUGCUAAUACCGCAUAAGACCACAGCACCGCAUGGUGCAGGGGUAAAAACUCCGGUGGUACAGGAUGGACCCGCGUCUGAUUAGCUGGUUGGUGAGGUAACGGCCCACCAAGGCGACGAUCGGUAGCCGGACUGAGAGGUUGAACGGCCACAUUGGGACUGAGACACGGCCCAGACUCC